rnacentral:rRNA from 1 species
GAUCAUGGCUCAGGAUGAACGCUAGCUACAGGCUUAACACAUGCAAGUCGAGGGGAAACGAUAGAGAAAGCUUGCUUUUUCUAGGCGUCGACCGGCGCACGGGUGAGUAACGCGUAUCCAACCUGCCCAUCACUUGGGGAUAACCUUGCGAAAGUAAGACUAAUACCCAACUGACGUCUCUAGAAGACAUCUGAAGGAGAUUAAAGAUUAUCGGUGAUGGAUGGGGAGUGCGU